UAUCGCCGGUAAUGCAUACGGGUUCAAGUGAGU
rnacentral:misc_RNA from 1 species